rnacentral:rRNA from 1 species
UGGGCGUAAGAGCUCGUAGGUCGUUUGUUACGUCGGAUGUGAAAACCUGAGGCUCAACCUCAGGCCUGCAUUCGAUACGGGCAAACUAGAGUUUGGUAGGGGAGACUGGAAUUCCUGGUGUAGCGGUGGAAUGCGCAGAUAUCAGGAGGAACACCAAUGGCGAAGGCAGGUCUCUGGGCCAAUACUGACACUGAGGAGCGAAAGUCUGGGGAGCGAACAGGAUUAGAUACCCUGGUAGUCCAGACCGUAAACGGUGGGCACUAGUUGUGGGAACCUUCCACGGUUUCUGCGACGCAGCUAACGCAUUAAGUGCCCCGCCUGGGGAGUACGAUCGCAAGAUUAAAACUCAAAGGAAUUGACGGGGCCCCGCACAAGCAGCGGAGCAUGCGGCUUAAUUCGACGCAACGCGAAGAACCUUACCAAGGCUUGACAUAUAGGGAAAAGUGGCAGAGAUGUCAUGUCCGCAAGGGCUCUAUACAGGUGGUGCAUGGUUGUCGUCAGCUCGUGUCGUGAGAUGUUGGGUUAAGUCCCGCAACGAGCGCAACCCUCGUUCUGUGUUGCCAGCAUUUAGUUGGGCACUUUUAAUGGGACUGCCGGUGACAAACCGGAGGAAGGUGGGGGAUGACGUCAAGUCCUCAUGGCCCUUAUGGCCAGGGCUUCACACGUAAUACAA